UACAGAGGUCCCAAGCGUUGUUCGGAUUCACUGGGCGUAAAGGGUGCGUAGGUGGUGGGGUAAGUCUGAUGUGAAAUCUCCGAGCUCAACUCGGAAAUGGCAUUGGAAACUACUCGGCUAGAGGGUUGGAGGGGGGACUGGAAUGCUUGGUGUAGCAGUGAAAUGCGUAGAUAUCAAGCGGAACACCAGUGGCGAAGGCGGGUCCCUGGACAACACCUGACACUGAGGCACGAAAGCUAGGGGAGCAAACAGG
rnacentral:rRNA from 1 species